GAGAUAAAUAGAUUGUGAUUGGUCUGCUAAAUCAUAUCGCCUGUAGUUUGAUUCUAUGGUUAUCUCU
rnacentral:tRNA from 1 species